GCCCAGACUCCUACGGGAGGCAGCAGUGGGGAAUAUUGCACAAUGGGGGAAACCCCGAUGCAGCGACGCCGCGUGAGUGAAGAAGUAAUUCGUUAUGUAAAGCUCUAUCAGCAGGGAAGAAAAUGACGGUACCUGAGUAAGAAGCCCCGGCUAACUACGUGCCAGCAGCCGCGGUAAUACGUAGGGGGCAAGCGUUAUCCGGAUUUACUGGGUGUAAAGGGAGCGUAGACGGCAGUGCAAGUCUGAAGUGAAAGGCAAGGGCUCAACCCUUGGACUGCUUUGGAAACUGUGCUGCUGGAGUGUCGGAGAGGCAAGUGGAAUUCCUAGUGUAGCGGUGAAAUGCGUAGAUAUUAGGAGGAACACCAGUGGCGAAGGCGGCUUGCUGGACGAUGACUGACGUUGAGGCUCGAAAGCGUGGGGAGCAAACAGGAUUAGAUACCCCGGUAGAA
rnacentral:rRNA from 1 species